CCUACGGGAGGCUGCAGUGAGGAAUAUUGGUCAAUGGACGAGAGUCUGAACCAGCCAAGCAGCGUGAAGGAUGACUGCCCUAUGGGUUGUAAACUUCUUUUAUAUGGGAAUAAAAUGUUCCACGUGUGGGAUUUUGUAUGUACCAUAUGAAUAAGGAUCGGCUAACUCCGUGCCAGCAGCCGCGGUAAUACGGAGGAUCCGAGCGUUAUCCGGAUUUAUUGGGUUUAAAGGGAGCGUAGGUGGGUUGUUAAGUCAGUUGUGAAAGUUUGCGGCUCAACCGUAAAAUUGCAGUUGAAACUGGCAGUCUAGAGUACAAUAGAGGUGGGCGGAAUUCGUGGUGUAGCGGUGAAAUGCUUAGAUAUCACGAAGAACUCCGAUUGCGAAGGCAGCUCACUGGACUGCAACUGACACUGAGGCUCGAAAGUGUGGGUAUCAAACAGGAUUAGAUACCCCUGUAGUC
rnacentral:rRNA from 1 species